rnacentral:rRNA from 1 species
AGCGAACGCUGGCGGCAGGCCUAACACAUGCAAGUCGAACGAACUCUUCGGAGUUAGUGGCGGACGGGUGAGUAACACGUGGGAACGUUCCUUUUGGUUCGGACUAACUCAGGGAAACUUGUGCUAAUACCGAAUGUGCCCUUCGGGGGAAAGAUUUAUUGCCAUUAGAGCGGCCCGCGUCUGAUUCGCUAGUUGGUAAGGUAACGGCUCACCAAGGCGACGAUCAGUAGCUGGUCUGAGAGAAUGACCACCCACACCGGGAGUGAGACGCGGCCCAGACUCCUACGGGAGGCAGGAGUGGGUAAUCUUGCGCAGUGGGCGAAAGCCUGACGCAGCCAGGCCGCGUGAAUGAUGAUGGUCUUAGGAUUGUAAAGUUCUUUCACCGGGGACGAUAAUGACGGUACCCGGAGAAGAAGCCCCGGCUAACUUCGUG